rnacentral:rRNA from 1 species
GUAAAAACACCCGCUGAACUUAAGCAUAUCAAUAAGCGGAGGA